rnacentral:rRNA from 1 species
UUAAGCAUAUCAAUAAGCGGAGGAAAAGAAACCAACCGGGAUUGCCUCAGUAACGGCGAGUGAAGCGGCAACAGCUCAAAUUUGAAAUCCGGCGUCUUCGGCGUCCGAGUUGUAAUUUGCAGAGGGUGUCUCGGGUGGAGCGUCGGUCCAAGUCCCUUGGAACAGGAUGCCAGAGAGGGUGAGAGUCCCGUAUCCGGCCGAUCGCGUCCCCUAUGUGAGACCCCUUCGACGAGUCGAGUUGUUUGGGAAUGCAGCUCUAAAUGGGUGGUAAAUUCCAUCUAAAGCUAAAUACCGGCCAGAGACCGAUAGCGCACAAGUAGAGUGAUCGAAAGAUGAAAAGCACUUUGAAAAGAGAGUGAAACAGUACGUGAAAUUGUUGAAAGGGAAGCGUAUACGGCCAGACUUGCCCGCGGAUGCUCAGCCCGUCUUCUGGCGGGUGCACUCUUCCGCGGUCAGGCCAGCAUCGGUUUGGGCGGUCGGAUAAAGGCGCUGGGAAUGUGGCCUCCCUCGGGAGGUGUUAUAGCCCGGCGUGCAAUGCGGCCAGCCCGGACCGAGGCUCGCGUUCUGCUAGGAUGCUGGCAUAAUGGCCUUAUACGGCCCGUCUUGAAACACGGACCAAGGAGUCUAACAUCUAUGCGAGUGUUUGGGUGUCAAGCCCGGACGCGUAAUGAAAGUGAACGGAGGUGAGAGCUUUUUGCGCAUCAUCGACCGAUCCUGAUGUCUUCGGAAGGAUUUGAGUAAGAGCAUAGCUGUUGGGACCCGAAAGAUGGUGAACUAUGCGUGAAUAGGGUGAAGCCAGAGGAAACUCUGGUGGAGGCUCGCAGCGGUUCUGACGUGCAAAUCGAUCGUCAAAUUUGCGUAUAGGGGCGAAAGACUAAUCGAACCAUCUAGUAGCUGGUUCCUGCCGAAGUUUCCCUCAGGA